AUUGAACGCUGGCGGCAGGCCUAACACAUGCAAGUCGAGCGGAUGAAGGGAGCUUGCUCCUGGAUUCAGCGGCGGACGGGUGGGUAAUGCCUAGGAAUCUGCCUGGUAGUGGGGGAUAACGUCCGGAAACGGGCGCUAAUACCGCAUACGUCCUGAGGGAGAAAGUGGGGGAUCUUCGGACCUCACGCUAUCAGAUGAGCCUAGGUCGGAUUAGCUAGUUGGUGGGGUAAAGGCCUACCAAGGCGACGAUCCGUAACUGGUCUGAGAGGAUGAUCAGUCACACUGGAACUGAGACACGGUCCAGACUCCUACGGGAGGCAGCAGUGGGGAAUAUUGGACAAUGGGCGAAAGCCUGAUCCAGCCAUGCCGCGUGUGUGAAGAAGGUCUUCGGAUUGUAAAGCACUUUAGGUUGGGAGGAAGGGCAGUAAGUUAAUACCUUGCUGUUUUGACGGUACCAACAGAAUAAGCACCGGCUAACUUCGUG
rnacentral:rRNA from 1 species